rnacentral:tRNA from 1 species
UGUUCUAUGGCCGAACUGGUAAAGGCAUUGCCGAUCACAGGCAAGCUUGCGGGUUCGAGUCCCGCUGGAACGG